CUGCUGCCUUCCGUAGGAGUCUGGACCGUGUCUCAGUUCCAGUGUGGCCGAUCACCCUCUCAGGUCGGCUAUGCAUCGUUGCCUUGGUAAGCCGUUACCUUACCAACUAGCUAAUGCAGCGCGGAUCCAUCUAUAAGUGACAGCAAGACCGUCUUUUACUUUUGAACCAUGCAGAUCAAAAUAUUAUCCGGUAUUAGCUCCGGUUUCCCGAAGUUAUCCCAGUCUUAUAGGUAGGUUAUCCACGUGUUACUCACCCG
rnacentral:rRNA from 1 species